CCUACGGGUGGCAGCAGUGGGGAAUAUUGGACAAUGGGGGCAACCCUGAUCCGGCCAUGCCGCGUGUGUGAAGAAGGCCCUCGGGUUGUAAAGCACUUUCAGUGAGGAAGAACGCCUGGUGGUUAAUACCCAUCAGGAAAGACAUCACUCACAGAAGAAGCACCGGCUAACUCCGUGCCAGCAGCCGCGGUAAUACGGAGGGUGCGAGCGUUAAUCGGAAUUACUGGGCGUAAAGCGCGCGUAGGUGGCUUGAUAAGCCGGUUGUGAAAGCCCCGGGCUCAACCUGGGAACGGCAUCCGGAACUGUCAAGCUAGAGUGCAGGAGAGGAAGGUAGAAUUCCCGGUGUAGCGGUGAAAUGCGUAGAGAUCGGGAGGAAUACCAGUGGCGAAGGCGGCCUUCUGGACUGACACUGACACUGAGGUGCGAAAGCGUGGGUAGCAAACAGGAUUAGAUACCCCUGUAGUC
rnacentral:rRNA from 1 species